rnacentral:rRNA from 1 species
UACGUAGGCAGCAAGCGUUGUUCGGAGUUACUGGGCGUAAAGGGUGUGUAGGCGGUUGUUUAAGUUUGGUGUGAAAUCUCCCGGCUCAACUGGGAGGGUGCGCCGAAUACUGAAUGACUAGAGUGUGGGAGAGGUGAGUGGAAUUCCUGGUGUAGCGGUGAAAUGCGUAGAUAUCGUAAGGAAGACCAGUGGCGAAGGCGAAUCUCUGGACAGUUACUGACACUGAGGCACGAAGGCCAGGGGAGCAAACGGG